UUGGGGAAGACGCUGCUGGGGACAGCUGGGGGGCUGGCCACCCAGGCACCGAAACCAUAGGACGCUCCUCGCUACCUCCCCAGUGGCAAAUACUACUUCAAGAGAACGGGGAACAUAACUCGGUGAAUAACACGUGCCAACGCCCGGCCCAUCGCUAGUCCUCCAGAAAUACCCGCCAGCCAGCCAGUCACCCGGACAGACAAAGGCGCGCAUCUGGCUUUGACGACGAUUGGGAAAGAAAAUAUUACAUAAACCCUGGGGUGAGCAAGGAUCUACCAGCGCCCUCCCCACGAGGCCAGUGAGGUCAUCCUGAGCUGAAGGAUUCUUCGGUUGAGAACUGCCAAAGUUCUUCUGGGAUCUGGUGUGUCCAUAGCGUGGGAAGCCAUGUCCCCCAUGUGCCCAAUGCCUCCCCCAAAUUGGAUUUCAACACUUCCCUGGAAAACAAGCUGAAAAAGAAAAACAUAAGGCAUUUCUCCUACUUCCUUUAAAGAAUUCACUUCAGAAUGAAAUCCAUAAG